rnacentral:sRNA from 1 species
CUUUAACAAUCUGGAACAAGCUGAAAAUUGAAACUUCAGCGCAUCAAUGAGUUAACUGACAUUGAUGGCGUUGAAAGAGUCUCUCAAAUAAUCACAGCCAUAAGGUGUGUAGACAUCUUCGG